AUUCGGCUGACGAGUCUCAAGUAGGACGAAAUGCGCAUCCUUGUGGAU
rnacentral:hammerhead_ribozyme from 1 species